rnacentral:lncRNA from 1 species
AUUAAUAGUGAAUAUUCUUGAUAGUAAUCAUAUUUUUAAUGUUUAUGUGACUUUUACAAAUACAAUAGUUUUAUUUUACAUGUUUGGUUAUACAAACUCAAAUUUACAAUAUUUCUCUAAAAAAAUAAAAAUUCCAAAAAUUGCAGUUUUUAAUAAAAUUAUUUAAAAAUAUAACAAAAACUCCGAAAGAAUAUUCAUCUAUUCACAAAUAUUCUUGUUGUCCUAAUUUCUAAAUCACAAACCCAAAUCUAUAAUAUUUCUCUAAAAAAUGAAAACUUUCCAAAAAUAACAGUUUUUAAGAAAAAUAUUUAAAAAUAGCACAUAUUGAUGAAAAAUUCUUAAAGAGUAUACAUCUGUCCACAAAUAGGCUAGUUAUCUUAAUUUUUAAAUCACAAACCCAAAUCUACAAUAUUUAUCAAUAAAAUGAAAACUUUCCAAAAAUAUUAGUUUUUAAGAAAAUUAUUUAAAAAAUUCAAUCCAUUGAUGAAAAUUUCUUAAAUUAUACUCAUAUAUCCACAAAUAUUCUUGUUAUCCUAAUUUUUAAAUCACAAACCCAUAUCUACAAUAUUUCUCUAAAAAAUGAAAAUUUUCCAAAAAUAGAAGGUUUUAAGAAAAUUAUUUAAAAUACGCCACAUUGAUGAAAAUUUCUAAAAGAAUACUCAACUAUCCACAAAUAUUCUUUUUAUCUUAAAUUUUAAGCCCCAAACUCAAAUCUAAAAUAUUUCUCUAAAAAAAUGAAAGCUUUCCAAAAAAUAACAGCUCUUAAGAAAAUUAUUUAAAAAUAUAACCUAUUGAUGAAAAACUCCGAAAAAUACUCAUCUGUCCACAAAUAGUCUAGUUGUCCUAAUUUCUAAAUCACAAACCUAAAUCUAUAAUAUUUCUCUAAAAAAUAAAAACUAUCUAAAAAUAGCAGUUUUUAAGAAAAUUAUUUAUAAAUACAACAUAUUGAUGAAAAAUUCUUAAAGAUUAUUCAUCUGUCCACAAAUAGUCUAGUUGUCCUAAUUUUUAAAUCAAAAACCCAAAUCUACAAUAUUUUUCUAAAAAAUGAAAACUUUCCAAAAAUAGCCGUUUUUAAGAAAAUUAUUUAAAAAUACAACACAUGGAUGAAAAAUUCUUAAAUUAUACUCUUCUAUCCACAAAUAUUCUUGUUAUCCUAAUAUUUAAAUCACAAACCAAAAUCUAUAAUAUUUCUCUAAAAAAUGAAAAAUUUCCAUAAAUAGAAGUUCUUAAGAAAAUUAUUUCAAAUAGAAGUGUUGAUGAAAAUUUCUAAAAGAAUACUCAAUUAUCCACAAAUAUUCUUGUUGUCUUAAUUUUUAAACCAAAAACUCAAAUCUACAAUAUUUCUCUAAAAAAUAAAAAAUUUCCAAAAAUAAUAGUUUUUAAGAUAAUUAUUUAAAAAUACAUCCUAUUGAAGAAUCAUCUAUCCACAAAUAUUCUUGUUGUCCUAAUUUCAAAAUCACAAACACAAAUCUAUAAUAUUUCUCUAAAAAUGAUAACUUUCCAAAAAUAGCAGUUUUUAAGAAAAUAAUUUAAAAAUACAACAUAUUGAUGAAAAUUUCUUAAAGAGUAUUCAUAUUUACACAAAUAGUCUAGUUAUCCUAAUUUUUAAAUCACAAACCCUAAUCUACAAUAUUUAUCUAUAAAAUUAACACUUUCCAAAAUAGCAGUUUUAAAGAAAAUUAUUUAAAAAUACAACCUAUUGAUGAAAAAAUCCGAAAUAAUCAUCUAUGCACAAAUAUUCUUGUUGUCCUAAUAUCUAAAUCACAAACCCAACUCUAUAAUAAUUCUCUAAAAAUGAAAACUUUCCAAAAAUAGCAGUUUUUAAGAAAAUUAUUUAAAAAUACAACCUAUUGAUGAAAAACUCCGAAAGAAUACUCAUUUAUCCACAAAUAUUGUUUUUGUCCUGAUUUAUAAAUCACAAACCCAAAUCUAAAUUAUUUCUCUAAAAAAUGAAUUUUUUUAAAAAUAGCAGUUUUUAAGAAAAUUAUUUAAAAUACAACAUAUUGAUGAAAAAUUCUUAAAGAUUAUUCAUCUGUCCACAAAUAAUCUAGUUGUCCUAAUUUCUAAAUCCCAAACAUAAAUCUAUAAUAUUUCACUAAAAAAUAAAAACUUUCUAAAAAUAGCAGUUUUUAAGAAAAUUAUUUUAAAAUACUACAUAUUGAUAAAAAUUCUUAAAGAAUAUUCAUCUGUCCACAAAUAGUAUAGUUGUCCUAAAAUUUAAAUCAAAAACCCAAAUCUACAAUAUUUUUCUAAAAAAUGAAAACUUUCCAAAAAUACCAGUUUUUAAGAAAAUUAUUUAAAAAUACAACACAAUGAUGAAAAAUUCUUAUAUUAUACUCUUCUAUCCACAAAUAUUCUUGUUAUCCUAAUUUUAAAAUUACAAACCCAAAUCUAUAAUAUUUCUCUAAAAAAUGAAAAAAUUCCAAAAAUAGAAGUUUUUAAGAAAAUUAUUUCAAAUACAACUUGUUGAUGCAAAAUUUCUAAAAGAAUACUCAAUUAUCCACAAAUAUUUUUCUUAUCUUAAUUUUUAAACCAGAAACUCAAAUCUACAAUAUUUCUCUAAAAAAAUGAAAAUUUUCCAAAAAUAGUAGUUUUUAAGAUAAUUAUUUAAAAAUACAACCUACUGAUGAAAAAUUCGAAAGAAUCAUCUAUCCACAAAUAUUCUUGUUAUCCUAAUUUUUAAAUCCCAAAAAAAUGAAAACUUUCCAAAAAUAACAGUUUUUAAGAAAAUUAUUUUAAAAUACAACUUAUUGAUGAAAAUUUCUUAAAGAGUAUUCGUCUUUCCACAAAUACUCUAGUUAUCCUAAUUUUUAAAUCACAAACCCUAAUCAACAAUAUUUCUCUAAAAAAUGAAAACUUUCUAAAAAUAGCAGUUUUUAAGAAAAAUUAUUUAAAAAUACAACAUUUUGAUGAAAAAUUCUUAAAGAUUAUUCAUCUUUCCACAAAUAGUCUAAUUGUCCUAAUUUUUAAAUCACAAACCCAAAUCUACAAUAUUUCUCUAAAAAAUGAAAACUUUCUAAAAAUAGCAGUUUUUAAGAAAAAUUAUUUAAAAAUACAACAUUUUGAUGAAAAAUUCUUAAAGAUUAUUCAUCUUUCCACAAAUAGUCUAAUUGUCCUAAUUUUUAAAUCACAAACCCAAAUCUACAAUAUUUCUCUAAAAAAUGAAAACUUUCUAAAAAUAGCAGUUUUUAAGAAAAAUUAUUUAAAAAUACAACAUUUUGAUGAAAAAUUCUUAAAGAUUAUUCAUCUUUCCACAAAUAGUCUAAUUGUCCUAAUUUUUAAAUCACAAACCCAAAUCUACAAUAUUUCUCUAAAAAAUGAAAACUUUCUAAAAAUAGCAGUUUUUAAGAAAAAUUAUUUAAAAAUACAACAUUUUGAUGAAAAAUUCUUAAAGAUUAUUCAUCUUUCCACAAAUAGUCUAAUUGUCCUAAUUUUUAAAUCACAAACCCAAAUCUACAAUAUUUCUCUAAAAAAUGAAAACUUAAAAAAAAAAAUAGCAGUUUUUAAGAAAAUUAUUCCAAAAUACAACCUAUUGAUGAAAAAAUCCGAAAGAAUACUCAUCUAUCCACAAAUAUUCAUUUUGUACUAAUUUCUAAAUCACAAACCCAAAUCUAUAAUAUUUCUCUAAAAAUGAAAAAUUUCCAAAAUAGCAGUUUUUAAGAAAAUUAUUUAAAAAUACAAACUGUUGAUGAAAAACCCCGAAAGAAUACACAUCUAUCCACAAAUAUUCUUGUUGUCCUAAUUUCUUAAUCACAAACCCAAAUCUAUAAUAAUUCUCUAAAAAUGAAUACUUUCCAAACAUAGCAGUUUUUAAGAAAAUUAUUUAAAAAUACAACAUAUUGAUGAAAAACUCUUAAAGAUUAUUCAUCUUUCCAUAAAUAGUCUAAUUGUCCAAAUUUUUAAUCACAAACCCAAAUCUACAAUAUUUCUCUAAAAAAUGAAAACUUUCCAAAAAUAGUAGUUUUUAAGAAAAUUAUUUAAAAAUACAACAUAUAGAUGAAAAUUUCUUAAAGAGUAUUCGUCUUUCCACAAAUAGUCUUGUCAUCCUAAUUUUUAAAUCACAAACCCUAAUCUACAAUAUUUCUCUAAAAAACGAAAACUUUUCAAAAAUAGUAGUUUUUAAGAAAGUUAUUUAAAAAUAUAACCUACUAAUGAAAAACUCCGAAAUAAUACUCAUCUAUCCACAAAUAUUCUUUUUGUCCUAAUUUCUAAAUCACAAACCCAAAUCAAUAAUAAUUCUCUAAAAAUGAAUACUUUCCAAAUAUAGCAGUUUUUAAAAAAAUUAUUUAAAAAUACAACCUAUUGAUGAAAAAUUCCGAAAGAAUACUCAUCUAUCCACAAAUGUUCUUUUUGUCCUAAUUUCUAAAUCACAAACCCAAAUCUAUAAUAUUUCCCUGAAAAAUGAAUUUUUUAAAAAAAUAGCAGUUUUUAAGAAAAUUAUUUAAAAUACAACAUAUUGAUGAAAAAUUCUUAAAGAUUAUUCAUCUGUCCACAAAUAGUCUGGUUGUCCUAAUUUCUAAAUCACAAACCCAAAUCUACAAUAUUUCUCUAAAAUGAAAACUUUCCAAAAAUAGCAUUUUAAAGAAAAUUAUUUAAAAAUACAAAAUAUUGAUGAAAAUUUCUUAAAGACUAUUCGUCUUUCCACAAAUAGUUUAGUUAUCCUAAUUUUUAAAUCAAAAACCCUAAUCAACAAUAUUUCUCUAAAAAAUGAAAACUUUUCAAAAAUGGCAGUUUUCAAGAAAAUUAUUUAAAAAUAUAACCUACUAAUGAAAAACUCCAAAAGAAUACUCAUAUAUCCACAAAUAUUCUUGUUGUCCUAAUUUAUAAAUCACAAACCCAAAUCUAUAAUAUUUCUCUAAAAAUGAAAUGUUUCAAAAAAUAACAGUUUUUAAGAACAUUAUUUAAAAAUACAAACUGUUGAUGAAAAACUACGAAAGAAUACUCAUCUAUCCAUAAAUAUUCUUGUUGUCCUAAUUUCUAAAUCACAAAACUCAAACCUAUAAUAUUUCUCUAAAAAAUGAAAAUUUUCUAAAAGUUGCAGUUUUUAAGAAAAUUAUUUUAAAAUAGAAACUUUUGAUGAAAAGUAUUCGUCUUUCCAUAAAUAGUCUAGUUAUCCUAAUUUUUAAAUCACAAACCCCUAAUUUUUAAAUCACAAACCCUAAUCAACAUUAUUUCUCUAAAAAAAUGAAAACUUUUCAAAAAUAGCAGUUUUUAAGAAAAUUAUUUAAAAAUAUAACCAACUAAUGAAAAACUCUGAAAGAAUACUCAUCUAUCACAAAUAUUUUUGUUGUCCUAAUUCUAAAUUACAAACCCAAAUCUAUAGUAAUUCUCUAAAAAUGAAUACUUUCCAAAUAUAGCAGUUUUUAUGAAAAUUAUUUAAAAAUACAUCCUAUUGAUGAAAAACUCCGAAAGAAUACUCAUCUAUCCACAAAUAAUCAUGUUGUCCUAAUUUCUAAAUCACAAAACUCAAUCCUAUAAUAUUUCUAUAAAAAAUAAACUUUCUAAAAGUUGCAGUUUUUAAGAAAAUUAUUUUAAAAUAGAAACUGUUGAUGAAAAACUCCAAAAGAAUACCCAUCUAUCCACAAAUAUUCUUGUUGUCCUAAUUUCUAAAUCACAAACCCAAAUCUAUAAUAUUUCUAUAAAAAAUAUAAACUUUCUAAAAAUAGCAGUUUUUAAGAAAAUUAUUUAAAAAUACAACAUAUUGAUGAAAAAUUCUUAAAGAUUAUUCAUCUGUCCACAAAUAGUCUAGUUGUCCUAAUUUUUAAUCACAAACCUAAAUCUAUAAUAUUUCUCUAAAAAAUAAAAACUUUCUAAAAAUAGCAGUUUUUAAGAAAAUUAUUUAAAAAUAUAACAUAUUGAUGAAAAAUUCUUAAAGAUUAUUUAUCUGUCCACAAAUAGUCUAGUUGUCCUAAUUUCUAAAUCAUAAACCCAAAUCUACAAUAUUUCUCUAAAAAAUGAAAACUUUCCAAAAAUAGCAGUUUUUAAGAAAAUUAUUUAAAAAUAUAACAUAUUGAUGAAAAAUUCUUAAAGAUUAUUUAUCUGUCCACAAAUAGUCUAGUUGUCCUAAUUUCUAAAUCAUAAACCCAAAUCUACAAUAUUUCUCUA